AUUGAACGCUGGCGGCAUGCCUUACACAUGCAAGUCGAACGGUAGCGCGGGGCAACCUGGCGACGAGUGGCGAACGGGUGAGUAAUGCAUCGGAACGUGCCUGGUAGUGGGGGAUAACUGCUCGAAAGAGCAGCUUAUACCGCAUACGACCUGAGGGUGAAAGGGGGGAUCGCAAGACCUCUCGCUAUCAGAGCGGCCGAUGUCGGAUUAGCUAGUUGGUGGGGUAAAGGCCCACCAAGGCAACGAUCCGUAGCUGGUCUGAGAGGACGACCAGCCACACUGGGACUGAGACACGGCCCAGACUCCUACGGGAGGCAGCAGUGGGGAAUUUUGGACAAUGGACGCAAGUCUGAUCCAGCCAUGCCGCGUGCGGGAAGAAGGCCUUCGGGUUGUAAACCGCUUUUGUCAGGGAAGAAAUCUUCUGGGCUAAUACCCUGGGAGGAUGACGGUACCUGAAGAAUAAGCACCGGCUAACUACGUGCCAGCCGCCGCGGUAACAC
rnacentral:rRNA from 1 species